UACGAAGGUGGCUAGCGUUGAUCGGAAUUACUGGGCGUAAAGCGCACGUAGGCGGACUUUUAAGUCGGGGGUGAAAUCCUGGAGCUCAACUCCAGAACUGCCUUCGAAACUGAAAGCCUUGAGUUCGGGAGAGGUGAGUGGAACUGCGAGUGUAGAGGUGAAAUUCGUAGAUAUUCGCAAGAACACCAGUGGCGAAGGCGGCUCACUGGACCGAUACUGACGCUGAGGUGCGAAAGCGUGGGGAGCAAACAGG
rnacentral:rRNA from 1 species